CGAACGGGUGAGUAACGCGUGAGGAACCUGCCUCAAAGAGGGGGACAACAGUUGGAAACGACUGCUAAUACCGCAUAAGCCCACGGUGCCGCAUGGCACAGAGGGAAAAGGAGCAAUCCGCUUUGAGAUGGCCUCGCGUCCGAUUAGCUAGUUGGUGAGGUAACGGCCCACCAAGGCGACGAUCGGUAGCCGGACUGAGAGGUUGAACGGCCACAUUGGGACUGAGACACGGCCCAG
rnacentral:rRNA from 1 species